rnacentral:misc_RNA from 1 species
AACCAUUCUCACCUGCGGCUAGACCUGCGGAAGGAUCAUUACUGAGUGAGGGCCUUCGGGCUCGACCUCCAACCCUUUGUGAACACAACUUGUUGCUUCGGGGGCGACCCUGCCGUUUCGACGGCGAGCGCCCCCGGAGGCCUUCAAACACUGCAUCUUUGCGUCGGAGUUUAAGUAAAUUAAACAAAACUUUUAACAAUGGAUCU